UUUCAAUCCUUCCUCCCCAAAAUGCUUGACUCCACAGUGAACGCUCUCCCCUCUCCCAGCCCUUCUGCAGUUCAUGUGAAUCCCCAAACCUUCCUCUCUACAAACAGUUCACAUUCCCAGGUAAACCCCAGGGUAAAUUCUCAUUCUGUAAGCUAACAUCCACUUUUAACCCCUUAGUUAUUUGCAGUUCUUCCAUCCCUAAAGCCACUCCACAAUAAACCCCUAUCCAUGCUCCCUAAAUGACUACACUCCACAGCAAAUCCUAAUCCUCUCGUGCCCACAGCCCAAUCACAUGCCAGAGUAACACCGAUCCUCAAAUACGACACAUCCUUCACACACCGUGAUAAACUCCAAUCCUCCGACCAACAGCCACUUCUUACUCCUUCGUAAUCCCUAGUAAUAUCUCCUACAACCACUUCACACAGUGAUUCCAAUGCUCCCUCCCUAUAUACAUCUCAUUCCACACUAAAUCCUUGUUCUCUCUCCACAUAACCACUUCACAUGCCACGAGAAGCCCCAUUCCUUCAAUUUCCCUAAAUUCUCCAAAGGAUUUUGAUAAUUGAACAAAUAUUUUAUAAUAACAUCGUGGAGAGAUGUUAAUAAAAUUUAAGUCUACCAUCCCAAGGGCCUGUUCUAAGGAUUUACAGUGAAAGAAGUGUCACCUUUUCUGCAUAAGGAUAUACUUUGCCACGCUAUUCAUACUGCUGAAAACUGGAUGAAUCUUAACUAACAUUGACUACUGUGUUAGGAUUAGUCAUUGCUGACUGUGCCAGCCUGCAGCCUCAUAAUCAGAGCCUUGUCACCAAGCAUGGCUGCCUCAGUGACUGGAAUGGAAAUGAAAAUAAAGCAAGUGUUAUUUUCCUCAUCCUGAAGCAACAGAGAACUGCAUCAGGCUUACCAACAUGAACGUGGGUAAGAAGGAGUUUUGAAGUCCAGCAAAGAUUUUAUAGCUAGUGAGGCUGGCUGGAAGCAGGGUCGAUCUGGUCUGAUGUGUUGCAAGAUGUGAACUUAUUAAGGCAUCACAGAGGCAACUCCCAGCGGGGGUGGAGGAGAGCAGCAGGGAUGGAAAGGAAGAAGACUCUCAAGAUAGGAUGCUCCAAAGGAUGAUUGGAAGAGAAGGGUGAUGUCUGGAAGCGAUAAGCCUCAGAUGUUUGUUUGCACCUUACUGGAAAGCCAUGUAAAUUAAUGGAAACUUCCUGGCAAAAUAGCUUGACUUGUAGCAACUUCACAACCAUAACAAUCCAGAGGUGAGGUUUGCCCGCACCCUAUUCAUUUCAAUCCCGAAGGCAAUUUUCCCCUUGGCCAGAGAGAAGCUCAAGAACAAAAAACCAAACACCGCAUGUUCUCACUCAU
rnacentral:lncRNA from 1 species